rnacentral:rRNA from 1 species
GACAGAGGGUGCAAACGUUGUUCGGAAUUACUGGGCGUAAAGGGCGCGUAGGCGGCCUACUAAGUCGGACGUGAAAUCCCUCGGCUCAACCGGGGAACUGCGUCCGAUACUGGUGGGCUUGAAUCCGGGAGAGGGAUGUGGAAUUCCAGGUGUAGCGGUGAAAUGCGUAGAUAUCUGGAGGAACACCGGUGGCGAAGGCGGCAUCCUGGACCGGUAUUGACGCUGAUGCGCGAAAGCCAGGGGAGCAAACGGG